UAGUCCACGCCGUAAACGAUGGGUGCUAGCUGUUCGGAGGUUACCUCUGAGUGGCGUAGCUAACGCGUUAAGCACCCCGCCUGGGGAGUACGGUCGCAAGAUUAAAACUCAAAGAAAUUGACGGGGACCCGCACAAGCGGUGGAACAUGUGGUUUAAUUCGAGGCAACGCGAAGAACCUUACCAGGGCUUGACAUGCUCUUCAUAUCCUCCCUAAAAGGAGGAGUCAGUUCGGCUGGAAGAUGCACAGGUGCUGCAUGGCUGUCGUCAGCUCGUGUCGUGAGAUGUUGGGUUAAGUCCCGCAACGAGCGCAACCCUCAUCCUCUGUUGCUAACAGGUAAUGCUGAGAACUCUGAGGAAACUGCCGGUGAUAAGCCGGAGAAAGGUGGGGAUGACGUCAAGUCCUCAUGGCCCUUACGCCCUGGGCUACACACGUGUUACAAUGGCAGUGACAAUGGGCAGCUAACCCGCGAGGGUAUGCGAAUCCCCAAAAGCUGCCUCAGUUUGG
rnacentral:rRNA from 1 species